UUUUAUCUGUAUUUAAUUUAAUUUGAUUUUAUAAUUCAUGGUCAAGACUUUCAUUUUCUUUUUUAUAAAACUUAUUUUAUUACAAUUUGAUUCUAACGUAGGGCUUAGGGAUAACAUGGGGAAUGGGCUAGAGGAAAUUAAGGAGGAAGCAUCAUGGUCAAGACUAUAGAAUAGAGAAGUCACCUUACUAGCUUAUAAAGCUUCAUUCUUUUAGCUGUAGUUUUACAAAGUGUUUCUACUACUACUAGAACUGAUAAGAAAAAAGUUGACCUACCAAUUUAAAAAGCACUUCAUAGAAAAUUGACCAACGCUUUUAAGUUUCCCCUGGGAAGAAGCAAGAAUCUGGAACACACAAGGCAGCAAGAAUGCAUUUUCAACACCAAUAUUGAAA
rnacentral:lncRNA from 1 species